CAGGGAAUAUUGCACAAUGGGCGAAAGCCUGAUGCAGCGACACCGCGUGCGGGAUGAAUGCCUUCGGGUUGUAAACCGCUUUCAGGAGGGACGAAAAUGACGGUACCUCCAGAAGAAGGCCCGGCCAACUACGUGCCAGCAGCCGCGGUAAUACGUAGGGGCCAAACGUUGUCCGGAUUUAUUGGGCGUAAAGGGCUCGUAGGCGGUUCAACAAGUCGAUCGUGAAAGCCCGGGGCUCAACCCCGGGACGCCGGUCGAAACUGUUGUGACUAGGGUCCGGUAGAGGUGAGUGGAAUUCUCGGUGUAGCGGUGGAAUGCGCAGAUAUCGAGAGGAACACCAGUAGCGAAGGCGGCUCACUGGGCCGGUACCGACGCUGAGGAGCGAAAGCAUGGGGAGCGAACAGGAUUAGAUACCCUGGUAGUCCAUGCCGUAAACGAUGAACACUAGGUGUGGCGGACUCAUUGACGUCUGCCGUGCCGAAGCUAACGCAUUAAGUGUUCCGCCUGGGGAGUACGGCCGCAAGGCUA
rnacentral:rRNA from 1 species